AUUGAACGCUGGCGGCAGGCUUAACACAUGCAAGUCGAGCGGUAACAGAGAGAAGCUUGCUUCUCUGCUGACGAGCGGCGGACGGGUGAGUAAUGCCUAGGAAUCUGCCUAGUAGUGGGGGAUAACUUGCCGAAAGGUAAGCUAAUACCGCAUACGUCCUACGGGAGAAAGGAGGGGACCUUCGGGCAUUUCGCCAUUAGAUGAGCUUAGGUCGGAUUAUUUAGUUGGUGAGGUAAUGGCUCACCAAGACCGCGAUCCGUAACUGGUCUGAGGGGAUGAUCAGUCACACUGGAGCUGAGACACGGUCCAGACUCCUACGGGAGGCAGCAGUGGGGAAUAUUGGACAAUGGGGGGAACCCUGAUCCAGCCAUGCCGCGUGUGUGAAGAAGGUCUUAGGAUUGUAAAGCACUUUAAGUUGGGAGGAAGAGCAGUUAACUAAUAUUUGACUGUUUUGACGUUACCGACAGAAUAAGCACCGGCUAACUUCGUGCCAGCCGCCGCCGUAA
rnacentral:rRNA from 1 species